rnacentral:rRNA from 1 species
CAGCAGCCGCGGGAAUACGUAGGUCCCGAGCGUUGUCCGGAUUUAUUGGGCGUAAAGCGAGCGCAGGCGGUUAGAUAAGUCUGAAGUUAAAGGCUGUGGCUUAACCAUAGUACGCUUUGGAAACUGUUUAACUUGAGUGCAAGAGGGGAGAGUGGAAUUCCAAGUGUAGCGGUGAAAUGCGUAGAUAUAUGGAGGAACACCGGUGGCGAAAGCGGCUCUCUGGCUUGUAACUGACGCUGGGGCUCGAAAGCGUGGGGAGCAAACAGGAUUAGAUACCCCUGUAGUCCCUGUCUCUUAUACA